CAGCCGCCGCGGGAAUACGUAGGUCCCGAGCGUUGUCCGGAUUUAUUGGGCGUAAAGGGAGCGCAGGCGGUUUAGUAAGUCUGAAGUUAAAGGCAUUGGCUCAACCAAUGUAUGCUUUGGAAACUGUUAGACUUGAGUGCAGAAGGGGAGAGUGGAAUUCCACGUGUAGCGGUGAAAUGCGUAGAGAUGUGGAGGAACACCAGUGGCGAAGGCGACUCUCUGGUCUGUAACUGACGCUGAGGAGCGAAAGCGUGGGGAGCGAACAGGAUUAGAUACCCCUGUAGUCCCUGUCUCUUAUACA
rnacentral:rRNA from 1 species